rnacentral:siRNA from 1 species
CUGUCCCUGUCUACUAUCCAGCG